rnacentral:lncRNA from 1 species
GUGGUAGGUUGAUGAUAAUUAAAUAUGAUGCUCUCAAAAUAACUUAGUUGUGAGUUAAGCUUUUGGCAAAAGGUGAGUCAACCAGCUCCACUUGAUAUUUAGCCUUGCAUGAUCCUUGGUGUUUUUUUUUUGUUUUACUAGACGGGUAAGUCUAGCUGAGUACAUUCCCGUACUCAGGGUUUAUUCCCACCUGUUGCUGAUGAUAUCUUCUAUGACGGUUUUUGUAAGACCUGUCUCCAUCCCGCUGGGGAUGAGGACUAACCGUUGGGCACGGUUCUCUAACAACUUCGUAUC